UAGUCCACGCCGUAAACGAUGGUCACUAGUUGUUGGGGUCUUGUACCUCAGUGAUUAAGCGAAAGUGAUAAGUGUCCCACCUGGGGAGUACGAUCGCAAGAUUGAAACUCAAAGGAAUUGACGGGGGCCCGCACAAGCGGUGGAGCAUGUGGUUUAAUUCGAUGAUACGCGAGGAACCUUACCAGGGCUUAAAUGUAGUCUGACAGCUUUAGAGAUAGAGUUUUCUUCGGACAGAUUACAAGGUGCUGCAUGGUUGUCGUCAGCUCGUGCCGUGAGGUGUCAGGUUAAGUCCUAUAACGAGCGCAACCCUUGUCGUUAGUUGCCAGCAUGUAAAGAUGGGGACUCUAACGAGACUGCCGGUGCAAACCGAGAGGAAGGUGGGGAUGACGUCAAAUCAUCACGGCCCUUACGUCCUGGGCCACACACGUGCUACAAUGGUAUGGACAAUGAGCAGCCAUCUAGGCAACAGAGAGCGAAUCUAUAAACCAUAAUCAC
rnacentral:rRNA from 1 species